AAAAGAACCUGAAACCGUGUACGUACAAGCAGUGGGAGCACGCUUAGGCGUGUGACUGCGUACCUUUUGUAUAAUGGGUCAGCGACUUAUAUUCUGUAGCAAGGUUAACCGAAUAGGGGAGCCGAAGGGAAACCGAGUCUUAACUGGGCGUUAAGUUGCAGGGUAUAGACCCGAAACCCGGUGAUCUAGCCAUGGGCAGGUUGAAGGUUGGGUAACACUAACUGGAGGACCGAACCGACUAAUGUUGAAAAAUUAGCGGAUGACUUGUGGCUGGGGGUGAAAGGCCAAUCAAACCGGGAGAUAGCUGGUUCUCCCCGAAAGCU
rnacentral:rRNA from 1 species